rnacentral:rRNA from 1 species
UGGGGAAUAUUGGACAAUGGGCGAAAGCCUGAUCCAGCCAUGCCGCGUGUGUGAAGAAGGUCUUCGGAUUGUAAAGCACUUUAAGUUGGGAGGAAGGGCAGUAAGCUAAUACCUUGCUGUUUUGACGUUACCGACAGAAUAAGCACCGGCUAACUCUGUGCCAGCAGCCGCGGUAAUAAAGAGGGUGCAAGCGUUAAUCGGAAUUACUGGGCGUAAAGCGCGCGUAGGUGGUUUGUUAAGUUGGAUGUGAAAGCCCCGGGCUCAACCUGGGAACUGCAUCCAAAACUGGCAGGCUAGAGUACGGUAGAGGGUGGUGGAAUUUCCUGUGUAGCGGUGAAAUGCGUAGAUAUAGGAAGGAACACCAGUGGCGAAGGCGACCACCUGGACUGAUACUGACACUGAGGUGCGAAAGCGUGGGGAGCAAACA